rnacentral:rRNA from 1 species
AUUGAACGCUGGCGGCAGGCUUAACACAUGCAAGUCGAGCGGGGGAAGGUAGCUUGCCACUGGACCUAGCGGCGGACGGGUGAGUAAUGCUUAGGAAUCUGCCUAUUAGUGGGGGACAACAUCUCGAAAGGGAUGCUAAUACCGCAUACGUCCUACGGGAGAAAGCAGGGGAUCUUCGGACCUUGCGCUAAUAGAUGAGCCUAAGUCGGAUUAGCUAGUUGGUGGGGUAAAGGCCUACCAAGGCGACGAUCUGUAGCGGGUCUGAGAGGAUGAUCCGCCACACUGGGACUGAGACACGGCCCAGACUCCUACGGGAGGCAGCAGUGGGGAAUAUUGGACAAUGGGGGGAACCCUGAUCCAGCCAUGCCGCGUGUGUGAAGAAGGCCUUAUGGUUGUAAAGCACUUUAAGCGAGGAGGAGGCUACUUUAGUUAAUACCUAGAGAUAGUGGACGUUACUCGCAGAAUAAGCACCGGCUAACUCUGUGCCAGCCGCCGCGGUAA